rnacentral:ncRNA from 1 species
GUCGGCGUAGUGACCAUCCAGCCCCAGCCUUACACGCUGGUUUCCGAUCUGCCGGGUCGCACCACUGCUUAUCGCGUCGCCGAAGUACGCCCGCAAGUGAACGGCAUCAUCCUCAAACGUCAGUUCACCGAAGGCACCGACGUCAAGGCCGGUCAGCAGCUGUAUCAGAUCGA